CCUACGGGAGGCAGCAGUGGGGAAUAUUGCACAAUGGGGGGAACCCUGAUGCAGCAACGCCGCGUGGGUGAAGAAGUACUCCGGUAUGUAAAGCCCUGUCAGCAGGGAAGAAAAUGAUGGUACCUGACCAAGAAGCCCCGGCUAACUACGUGACAGCAGCCGCGGUAAUACGCAGGGGGCAAGCGUUAUCCGGAUUUACUGGGUGUAAAGGGAGCGUAGACGGCAAGGCAAGUCUGGAGUGAAAGCCCGGGGCCCAACCACGGGACUGCUUUGGAAACUGUGUUGCUGGAGUGCAGGAGGGGUAAGCGGAAGUCCUAGUGUAGCGGUGAAAUGCGUAGAUAUUAGGAGGAACACCGGUGGCGAAGGCGGCUUACUGGACUGUAACUGACGUUGAGGCUCGAAGGCGUGGGGAGCAAACAGGAUUAGAUACCCGUGUAGUC
rnacentral:rRNA from 1 species